GCUGGGAUCGGGAGUAGGGCCUUUUUGGGAAAAGGCAGGAAAAGGCAACAUCCUUUUGCUGAUAGCCACAGUCAGGGAAUUUGAGGGAUGAACAUGGACAAGAUAAACUGUGUGUGUGGUUCUCGCCCGCUCACUUUCUCUCUAUCUCUCUUCAUCUCUCCCUCAUAGACAGAAAGGACUAGAGUAAGUUAAUAUCCUUCAUGGAAGCCCCCUGUGGAUCCCCCCACAUUAGUGUAAGGAGGCGGUGGGUGGGCAAACAGAAGGACUGUUGUUAAUCCUCAAUCUGUAGGGAGCUCUUGACAGCUUUCCUAGAGUUUUGAAAAGUUAUGAAUGUCCCCUAUUACAUGAGGCAUGACCAUAGAGAUCACAGUGGUGAGAUGGUCAGUCAGUGUGGUGAAGUUAUGUAGUGGCUGACGCUUGGAGCGUGUAGGCUGAGUGUCUGUAAAGUACUAUAAAGGGCUAUAAAAAAUUAAAUAUAAUUGGUUGAUUGCUAGUUUGUGACUUGUUGUCUUCCCCUCCAUUCAGGGCUGAGCCAGGUGAGGAACCCCCUGAGCCCUCUCCUCUACCGCGGAGAAGACGUGCUGCAGCAGCCCUGGCCCACCCCAGACCCUCUGUACCUGGAGACCCCUGGAGCUGGAUGUACGGAUCAACAACAAGGUGUUGGUGCCUCAACAGGUGGCCCAGGAUACGGAGCAGGUACGGGCACUGGUUCUGGGGAGCGAGCUGGGACAGCAUCUCCUAGGAUACCGGACCAUCAAGAAGGCCAUUCUGUUCCCUAGGACCGCCCUCAUCAACUUCCUCAUAGAGGAGUGACCACUCAACUCUGGAUGCUGAUUGGUGGACUGUCAUGUCAAUCAGAAGACCACAGCCACUCACAGACUUGAAGGCGGGGACAUCAUGUGAACGGAAGGAUGAAAGACUAUUUGUAAAUUAAAACAGUAACUAGUAUCAACAGACAUUUUUGUAAAAAAAACAACAACAAAAAAACAUCUUUGUGAAUAAAAUGAUAUAUUUA